GACGAACGCUGGCGGCGUGCUUAAUACAUGCAAGUCGAACGGAAAGGCCCUGCUUUUGUGGGGUGCUCGAGUGGCGAACGGGUGAGUAACACGUGAGUAACCUGCCCUUGACUUUGGGAUAACUUCAGGAAACUGGGGCUAAUACCGGAUAGGAGCUCCUGCUGCAUGGUGGGGGUUGGAAAGUUUCGGCGGUUGGGGAUGGACUCGCGGCUUAUCAGCUUGUUGGUGGGGUAGUGGCUUACCAAGGCUUUGACGGGUAGCCGGCCUGAGAGGGUGACCGGCCACAUUGGGACUGAGAUACGGCCCAGACUCCUACGGGAGGCAGCAGUGGGGAAUAUUGCACAAUGGGCGAAGCCUGAUGCAGCAACGCCGCGUGCGGGAUGACGGCCUUCGGGUUGUAAACCGCUUUCGCCUGUGACGAAGCGUGAGUGACGGUAAUGGGUAAAGAAGCACCGGCUAACUACGUG
rnacentral:rRNA from 1 species